UACGUAGGGUGCGAGCGUUGUCCGGAAUUAUUGGGCGUAAAGAGCUCGUAGGCGGCCUGUUACGUCUGCUGUGAAAUCCCGGGGCUUAACCCCGGGCGUGCAGUGGAUACGGGCAGGCUGGAGGCAGGCAGGGGAGAACGGAAUUCCCGGUGUAGCGGUGAGAUGCGCAGAUAUCCGGAAGAACACCGGUGGCGAAGGCGGUCUGCUGGGCCAAGACUGACGCUGAGGCGCGACAGCGUGGGGAGCAAACAGG
rnacentral:rRNA from 1 species